rnacentral:lncRNA from 1 species
CUCCAAUCCUUAGUUAAGUCACACCCACCAUUUGCACGAACUAGAUUCCUGAUUGGGUCCCUCACCGUAUCUAAAAUAUUGAGCCCAACCCAUCCUCUAAUCUGUAGCAUCCAAUGCCUAAUGGACAUGGUUGCAUCUUCCCGGUGCAACUGAGCCACUAUAACCAGUCGAGAACAAUCAACCUCGGGAAGGGCCCGCACAUCUACAAUGGUGGAAGACCUAGACUUAAUAUUUUCUUAGGAAGAUUUAUUUAGGUCUCAUUAAACUUGACUUGACAUAGUCAUAACAAUUAUGACUAACCUAGUGGCAUGGAUUAGCUCGAAUUGUUAGCCACCUCUAAUCAAAACUGAGUCGACACAUAUGGCCAGGUAAG